rnacentral:sRNA from 1 species
GUUUUGUUAGAUCCGAUCCGAUUAGUGUCCGAGAGAGAAGAAGAAGAAGAAGAAGAUGUUUCUUUCUUUCGUAU